rnacentral:tRNA from 1 species
GGGGGUGUGGCGCAACGGUAGCGCGUCAGAUUCCAGAACUUGGAAUGUCCUGAAGGCUGAGCGUUCAAAUCGCUCCAUCCUCA